GACGAACGCUGGCGGCGUGCUUAAUGAAUGCGAGUCGAGCGAGAACCGGACUGAGGAAACCUUCGGGUGGAAUCAGUCUGGGGAGAGCGGCAAACGGGUGAGUAACACGUGGGUAACCUGCCCCCCAGACGGGGAUAAUUCGCCGAAAGGCGGACUAAUACCCGAUGGUGAUGUGCCAACACAUGUUGAUACAUCUAAAGGCUCCGGUGCUGAGGGAGGGGUCCGCGGCCGAUUAGCUUGUUGGUAGGGUAACGGCCUACCAAGGCUUCGAUCGGUAGCCGGUCUGAGAGGAUGACCGGUCACACUGGGACUGAGACAUGGUCCAGACUCCUACGGGAGUUAGCAUCAGGGAAUCUUGCGCAAUGGGCGAAAGCCUGACGCAGCGACGCCGCGUGGGUGGUGAAGGCCUGCGGGUCGUAAAGCCCUGUCGGGAGGGAAGAAACAGCACCUUCGGGUGCUUUGACUGUACCUCCGGAGGAAGCCCCGGCUAAUUACGUGCCAGCAGCCGCGGUAAUACGUAAGGGGCCAGCGUUGUCCGGAAUUACUGGGCGUAAAGAGCACGUAGGCGGUUAGGAAAGCGAUAGGUGAAAUCCCCCGGCUCAACCGAGGAACUGCUUAUCGAACUGCCUGACUAGAGCACGGGAGAGGGCACUGGAAUUCCUGGUGUAGCGGUGGAAUGCGUAUAUAUCAGGAGGAACACCGGUGGCGAAGGCUGGUGCCUGGAACGUUGCUGACGCUAAGGUGCGAAAGCCAGGGGAACAAACGGGAUUAGAUACCCCGGUAGUCCUGGCCGUAAACGAUGGACACUAGKKGUKGRAGGUYCRMCCCCUYCRKKGYKGUUAASYUAMSSSGUUARKKKUCCSGCCKGGGRAKWMCGGYCSCAAGGYKRAAMYYCAAAGGAAUKRMCGGGG
rnacentral:rRNA from 1 species